rnacentral:rRNA from 1 species
GACGAACGCUGGCGGCGUGCCUAAUACAUGCAAGUAGAACGCUGAAGGAGGAGCUUGCUUCUCUGGAUGAGUUGCGAACGGGUGAGUAACGCGUAGGUAACCUGCCUGGUAUCGGGGGAUAACUUUUGGAAACGAUAGCUAAUACCGCAUAAGAGUAGAUGUUCCAUGACAUUUGCUUAAAAGGUGCACUUGCAUCACUACCAGAUGGCCCUGCGUUGUAUUAGCUAGUUGGUGGGGUAACGGCUCACCAAGGCGACGAUACAUAGCCGACCUGAGAGGGUGAUCGGCCACACUGGGAACGAGACACGGCCCAGAAUUCUACGGGAGGGAGCAGGAGGGAAUCUUCGGAAAUGGACGGAAGUCUGACCGAGCAACGACGCGUGAGUGAAGAAGGGUCUCGGAUCGUAAAGGUCUGUUGUAAGAGAAGAAAGAGUAUGAGAGUGGAAAGUUCACACUGUGACGGUAUCUAACCAGAAAGGGACGGCUAACUACGUG